CGGAUAUAUGAAUAGAGGCAUAGGACAUCACCUCGCUUAUCCCAAAAGAGAAGGGGAGACAUGGGGAGUCUCUUUUUAAAUUCGUUAAUUCAGUUGAGUUUGCCGCCAAGAUUUCGCGCCAAUCCAGUUACAUAUUCGUGCCAUUGCGUUUCUUUCCUUUAUCCCUCCGUAUUCAGCAGCACCAUUGCUCGAAGUACGAGAAGAACAAGAAGAAAGAGGGAUACAACAACCUACGUUCGUUCGGAAGAUACCGGAGAACCAAAGCAACAGCAGCAACAGCUAAACCUCUCCGUUCUUCGCUUCACACUUGGUAUUCCUGGGUUCGACGAAUCCUACCUACCCAGAUGGAUUGGCUACGGUUUCGGUUCGCUACUUUUCUUAAAUCAUUUCGUGGGCUCGAGUUCAUACAUCACUGCAGCGCAGUUGAAAUCGGAAGCCCUUGGUGUUUCUCUGGCGGCGUUCUCGGUUGCCCUUCCCUAUUUGGGAAAAUUUCUGAAGGGUGCAACUCUGGCAGAUCAGUCAGCGCUACCUGAAGGCAACAAGCAAACAUUUAUUAUGUCAGAAAGUCUCUCUGACAUACAAAAGGAAGAUUUAGCAUGGGCAACAUAUAUUCUGUUGCGCAAUACAAACACCAUGUCAGUGCUUAUAUCUGUUGGAGAUGCAUUAUGUGUACGUGGCUAUUGGGGAGCACCUGAAAAUGUAUCAAAAGCUAGUGAACUUGACUGGUUUGAGAGGAAGAUUCAACAAAUUGGCUUUUCUGAUCUAAAGGACACACUUUAUUUUCCUCAGACCUCAGUGAUUGCAGAUUCUGCAUUUUCGGAGAUGCUCCCAAGAGGAACUCAAUCUCUUCUUGUACAACCCGUGCUUGGAGCUCCUAAACUAGGUAUUGAUGAAAGACAGGAAAUUAUUGGAGGAUUCAUCCUAUUGGCUUCCAGUAUGAGUUAUGCAUACAGUGACAGAGACAGAGCCUGGAUAGGAGCUAUCUCAAACAAAUUCAGAAUUAUGUGAAUGAAUUCCUAAUGUAUCAAGAUAUCAUCUUUAAUGCGGGCCCGAUCGAUCAAGUGAAAUGCAUAGUUCAAAGAAUAGUGCUGGAGUUAGAAAAUGUUUUUGCUCUCAGCAGUAAUGUACUUUUAUCUGUCGAAGCCCACUUUUAAACAAACAUUGAAUCUCCUCUGUGCUGUCUUCUCUUCAAUUAGAUGGGGCCGAAGAAGAUCGAGUCUCUACAGAAACUUCUUCAAUU